ACAACCGUGACGUCAUUCUCGUAAUGGUUCUUUGUUAUUUCGUUUCCGGAUCAGAGUAAAACGGGUUCACACUUUCAAAGAUAAAACGCCUGUUUAUUAGGUAAACUCUUAGCGUAAAAGUAGUUUUAGGUAGCGACACAAUUGGCAUAGUGAUACUAUAUAUAUAAACUGACUUAUUCGUAACAGGCCCAAAUUGAUUCAGAACUUUUGAGUCUUUCAGUCAGUUCGUAUAUAAACAUGCUUAUAUAGGGACUUUGCUUUUAUCGGAUUUUAAAGAAUAUGUGCAGUGAAGAAACGAGGUUCUGCCCUCACCGAACUAAAAAUGCUCCCCGAAACACGUACGCAACUUAUGUACAAUAGUUUCCAGAUGACGUAUUGAUGUCGCUGUACUAUUUGGGAAACUUUUAUCUAUUCUCAAAUUGAUUAUUUCCAAGAAUUUGUAUUGAUUUUAUUAAAAAAGUUUGUGUUCAUAAAUAAAUCUAACUUCAAGUUUAUAAAUUAAAAAUAAUAAUCGGUGCUAAAUUUUUCAC